rnacentral:rRNA from 1 species
UACGUAGGGUGCGAGCGUUGUCCGGAAUUAUUGGGCGUAAAGAGCUCGUAGGCGGUGUGUCACGUCGGCCGUGAAAACCUGGGGCUUAACUCUGGGCGUGCGGUCGAUACGGGCAUCACUAGAGUUCGGCAGGGGAGACUGGAAUUCCUGGUGUAGCGGUGAAAUGCGCAGAUAUCAGGAGGAACACCGGUGGCGAAGGCGGGUCUCUGGGCCGAUACUGACGCUGGAGGAAGCGAAAGCGUGGGGAGCGAACAGG